AUGUACAUAUAAAUUUCCACUGAUUCUGCAAAAGACAUUUAGAGGCAGUGCCGCGCGAGUCCAUCAUCGAAAGUCGAUUCUAACACCGUGAAGUUUUGGAAAAACUGGAAGAAGCCGAGACGGCUAAUAACAAUUUAUUGAAAAGACUUGACAAACUAAAAAAUGCGAAAAGUGCCAUUCUUAAGGACCUAUGACCGAAGAUAGUAAAUCGCAUAGAUAUCAUCAACCCCAGAAACGACGGAGACGCAAUCGAGGAUAUCUAAAACAACACUUUAUCAAUAUAACAUAAAUACUGCAAGUAAAUUGGACGAUAGCGCUGUUUAAAUAAUCAUAAUUGUAACAUAAUUGUAAUUAUUUUUAAAGAGACAUUACAAAUUUGUAAUUAAAUAACAUCUUAAAACCAUAUAAAA